UGUAUACUCCCUCCAUUCGGAAUUACUUGUCUCGGAAAUGGAUGUAUCUAGAACUAAAAUACGUCUAGAUACAUCCAUUUCCGAGACAAGUAAUUCCGAACAGAGGGAGUACAUG
rnacentral:pre_miRNA from 1 species